rnacentral:rRNA from 1 species
GACGAACCGUGCGAACGUUGUUCGGAUUUACUGGGCGUAAAGGGCGCGUAGGCGGCGUGUUAAGUCAGCUGUGAAAUCUCCAAGCUUAACUUGGAACGGUCAGCUGAUACUGAUGUGCUAGAGUGCAGAAGGGGCAAUCGGAAUUCUUGGUGUAGCGGUGAAAUGCGUAGAUAUCAAGAGGAACACCUGAGGUGAAGACGGGUUGCUGGGCUGACACUGACGCUGAGGCGCGAAAGCUAGGGUAGCAAACGGG